AUUGAACGCUGGCGGCAUGCCUUACACAUGCAAGUCGAACGGUAACAGGUCUUCGGAUGCUGACGAGUGGCGAACGGGUGAGUAAUACAUCGGAACGUGCCUAGUAGUGGGGGAUAACUACUCGAAAGAGUGGCUAAUACCGCAUGAGAUCUACGGAUGAAAGCAGGGGAUCGCAAGACCUUGUGCUACUAGAGCGGCCGAGGGCAGAUUAGGUAGUUGGUGGGAUAAAAGCUUACCAAGCCGACGAUCUGUAGCUGGUCUGAGAGGACGAUCAGCCACACUGGGACUGAGACACGGCCCAGACUCCUACGGGAGGCAGCAGUGGGGAAUUUUGGACAAUGGGCGCAAGCCUGAUCCAGCAAUGCCGCGUGCAGGAUGAAGGCCUUCGGGUUGUAAACUGCUUUUGUACGGAACGAAAAGCCCUGGGUUAAUACCCUGGGGUCAUGACGGUACCGUAAGAAUAGGCACCGGCUAACUACGUGCCAGCCGCCGCGGUAAGAC
rnacentral:rRNA from 1 species